rnacentral:rRNA from 1 species
UACGGAGGGCGCGAGCGUUGUUCGGAAUCACUGGGCGUAAAGCGCGUGUAGGCGGCUUUGCAAGUCGGGUGUGAAAUCUCGAGGCUAAACCUCGGAACUGCACUCGAUACUGCUUGGCUCGAGUCCCGGAGAGGGUGGCGGAAUUCCAGGUGUAGGGGUGAAAUCCGUAGAUAUCGGGAGGAACAUCAGUGGCGAAGGCGGCCACCUGGACGGUGACUGACGCUGAGACGAGAAAGCGUGGGGAGCAAACAGG